AGGGAGACCUGCCCACUCAAGUUACCGAGAACAAUGUAAAAGUUGGCAAGAGGUAAUGAGUUGGUCAUCCCAGGUCGGUCGAGAUUGGUGAAAGCUUUCAAAGUAUUACUAUUCCGGUUUAAUCAAUUUAAACAGAGAAAAAAUCAGCACCUGAAAGCAAAAAAAUCAGACUGCUGGGUAUUGUUCCAGCCAGAACCUUGAAAACUGCAUAGAAACGCGAUUAGAGCAGGCAGACAUGAGUAUCGGAAAGAUAUGAAGUGUUUGCAGGAUAGAAACCAAUGUAAAAAGUGGUCAAGCGAAUAAGAGCUGAUGGUGGAUACCUAGGCACACAGAGGCGAAG
rnacentral:misc_RNA from 1 species